rnacentral:lncRNA from 1 species
AACUAUGUUUGGCAGCUAAUGACAGAUUUUAAGAAAAAUAAUUCUAUGACAGUAGGAGCCCAAAGGACAAUUGUACAAAAGACAAGAAGAACUACAUUCCCCCUUUGAAGGACCACAAAACCAGAGGCAACCAGCACCAGCUAAAACAACCAAAGAGAAAAAUCUAUGUCUGGAUAUUUGGCUUGAGACAAUUGUGGAUUAGAAGAGAGAAAAGGGAUCGAGCAGUUUAGAUGUCCUGGAAGUCUUUCUAGUGGCAAAGAAAUUUCCAUUGAUCAUGUCACAGGAUAAAGAUCUGGACAAAGAAAUGUAACAGGUUCUAUUGCUAUGGAAGUUACCACAACAUUCUCACCUUUUGGAGAUGAAGCAGAGAGGUGGAAAGCACUCAACCCUCUGGGAGUUGAAAAUAUACAGUAUGCAGUAAUAGAUGCUGGAAGUCCAAGAAUCUACAAUACCCAAACUACGGUCUGGUAAAGUCAAAGAGAGCGUUUUCAUUGGGCCAUUAUUGAAAAUUUAUACAUUCAUGUGGAUUACAAAUAAAAAGCAGGAAGAGGGCCUUCCUUCUUGUUAAACAUCUUACGGUCUAUGGGUUGUAUCAUGGUUAUUCUGCACAUUUUGGCUAUUAUCUACUUAUCAGUGAAUACAGGCUAUGUAUAUCCUUUUGGGUCUGGG